UCUGGUUGAUCCUGCCAAUAGUUAUAUACUUGUCUCAAAGAUUAAGCCAUGCAUGUCUAAGUACACACGAAUUAACAGUGAAACCGCAAAAGGCUCAUGAUAUCAGUUAUGGUUCCUUAGAUCGUUAACAGUUACUUGAAUAAUUCUAGUAAUUCUAGAGCUAAUACAUGCAAUGAAAACACGGACCUUUUGGAACGUGUGCUUUUAUUAGGCUAAAACCAAGCGAUCGCAAGAUCGUUUUAUUGGUUGAACUCUAGAUAACAUGCAGAUCGUAUGCUCUUGUACCGACGACAGAUCUUUCAAAUGUCUGCCCUAUCAACUUUUAAUGGUAGUAUCUAGGACUACCAUGGUUGCAACGGGUAACGGGGAAUCAGAGUUCGACUCCGGGGAGGGAGCCUGAGAAACGGCUACCACAUCUAAGGAAGGCAGCAGGCGCGUAAAUUACCCACUCCCAGCUCGGGCAGGUAGUGACGAAACAUAACAAUACAGGACUCAUAUCCGAGGCCCUGUAAUUGGAAUGAGUACACUUGAAAUCCUUUAACAAGGACGUUUGGAGGGCAAGUCUGGUGCCAGCUGCCGCGGUAAUUCCAAUAGCUUAUAUUAAAGUUGUUAGAGUUAAAACGUUCGUAGUUGAACUUGUGCUUCAUACUGGUAGUACAACUUACAAUUGUAGUUAGUACUAUACCUUUAUGUAUGUAAGUGUGUUACUGGUGGAGUUCUUAUAUCUAAUAGAAUACUUGUAUUUUUUUAUAUAUUCCUCCUACAUACAUAAUACAUGUUUAAAGAAUUUUCAGAUAAUACACAUUAUCAACUAAUUCUAUUUCAAUUUCACCCACAGUUCGACUGAUUAAUUGUAAUCCAUAUUUUACAUUAAAGAUUCAACGUUUCAACAUUAAGAUUCACAUAGAAAACAAUACAAAUUCAGAACUUCACAUUUUAGACGAAUCGUCCAUGAACAUGGUAAAACUACCCUUCAGCAUCGCUAACGGCGCGAUUCGGUGCGAAACCACAAAGUUU
rnacentral:rRNA from 1 species